rnacentral:lncRNA from 1 species
CCCAUAUGUUACACCACAUAUAAGGUUAUAAAUUCUUCAGCUUCAGGUUAUACAUGUACCAUAUCUAUAGCACUAAAAACACAUCCACGCAAUCUCGUUUGUUCUAUAUAAAAUAUCUUGUUUCUCAAGAAUAUUAAAUUAAAUUCAGAUCACAUCUAAAAUCUUCUAAUAUUUCUCAAACCAUAUCAUGCAAUCAUGAAAUCAAAUCUGCGUUUUUUUCUUUUCUUCUUUGCAUUUAAAACUCGUAAAACUACAUACUGCUCAAGUAAACAAUAGCUAGCUAGAAUUCUAUAGUGCACAAGUCUUUAAAAGCCUGAAAUCCAAUCCUGUUGCGAACAGACGGAGUAAUUGUAGGGUUAUAUAUACAAUGACAUUUACGUAGAUUUCAC